ncrna:Nocardia farcinica IFM 10152 Actino-pnp RNA
GUCGGUCUUCGGUAGUGGCCUCUCGAGUGGACAUCCGCCCGUCGGGCUUCGAUCGAUGACCGCC